rnacentral:rRNA from 1 species
GAUGAACGCUGGCGGCGUGCCUAAUACAUGCAAGUCGAGCGAACAGACGAGGAGCUUGCUCCUCUUACGUUAGCGGCGGACGGGUGAGUAACACGUGGCUAACCUACCUAUAAGACUGGGAUAACUUCGGGAAACCGGAGCUAAUACCGGAUAAUAUAUGGAACCGCAUGGUUCAAUAGUGAAAGACGGAUUUGCUGUCACUUAUAGAUGGAUCCGCGCCGCAUUAGCUAGUUGGUAAGGUAACGGCUUACCAAGGCAACGAUGCGUAGCCGACCUGAGAGGGUGAUCGGCCACACUGGAACUGAGACACGGUCCAGACUCCUACGGGAGGCAGCAGUAGGGAAUCUUCCGCAAUGGGCGAAAGCCUGACGGAGCAACGCCGCGUGAGUGAUGAAGGUCUUCGGAUCGUAAAACUCUGUUAUUAGGGAAGAACAAAUGUGUAAGUAACUAUGCACGUCUUGACGGUACCUAAUCAGAAAGCCACGGCUAACUACGUG